rnacentral:snRNA from 1 species
CCCAAAUGUAGACAAAGC